rnacentral:tRNA from 1 species
CCUUCGAUAGCUCAGUUGGUAGAGCGGUGGACUGUAGCGAAAGUUAGGAGAAGUUGCGAUCAUGUGAUCAAAACUUCGAUCAUUAUAGUAGAAAUCCAUAGGUCACUGGUUCAAAUCCGGUUCGAAGGA